rnacentral:misc_RNA from 1 species
GUUAAAUUGAAACAUUCCUUUACUCCUGUUUUAUUAACCAAUUCCAGUUCUGUUGUAUUCCUUGCUGCACUUCUAAGUAGGGUACUGAAUGAAAACUCCACACAAAAUUAAGCUUGCCUGCAGGACUAAUAGAAAAUGAAGAGAGUCCCACCAGCCUCAGCAGAACUAUAGAAGAAGAAAUGUUAAGUCCUAGCAUAAAAGUUAAAAAAAGAAGGAUAAAAAUGCAUUUUAAAUUCAUCUAUAAAAAAAUUACUGCAUUCAACACAGAGGAAUUAUACCAUUAUCUUGAAUACGAAAAUAGAAAAUGCACAUGGGUAUAAUGAAUUGAUCCGGAUGCAAACAAAGCACAACUUUUUCCAUAACAUCCAUAUUCACACAGAAAGCUGGCUUUCUU